CCGGACGGGUGAGUAAUGUCUGGGAAACUGCCUGAUGGAGGGGGAUAACUACUGGAAACGGUAGCUAAUACCGCAUAACGUCGCAAGACCAAAGAGGGGGACCUUCGGGCCUCUUGCCAUCAGAUGUGCCCAGAUGGGAUUAGCUAGUAGGUGGGGUAAUGGCUCACCUAGGCGACGAUCCCUAGCUGGUCUGAGAGGAUGACCAGCCACACUGGAACUGAGACACGGUCCAGACUCCUACGGGAGGCAGCAGUGGGGAAUAUUGCACAAUGGGCGCAAGCCUGAUGCAGCCAUGCCGCGUGUGUGAAGAAGGCCUUCGGGUUGUAAAGCACUUUCAGCGAGGAGGAAGGUGGUGAGCUUAAUACGUUCAUCAAUUGACGUUACUCGCAGAAGAAGCACCGGCUAACUCCGUGCCAGCAGCCGCGGUAAUACGGAGGGUGCAAGCGUUAAUCGGAAUUACUGGGCGUAAAGCGCACGCAGGCGGUUUGUUAAGUCAGAUGUGAAAUCCCCGGGCUCAAACCUGGGAACUGCAUUUGAAACUGGCAAGCUAGAGUCUCGUAGAGGGGGGUAGAAUUCCAGGUGUAGCGGUGAAAUGCGUAGAGAUCUGGAGGAAUACC
rnacentral:rRNA from 1 species